GCUCCUCAGGGGCCUUAGCCAGGCCCUGCCCUUGCCAGAGUUGCCUCUCUUCCGCCACAGAGCUUUUCCCUCAUCCUGCACGUGGACCUGGCUGGGGGCAGCUUCGUGGCCCAGAGGUGCCUGCCAAGCCUGUGAACUUCCGGGCGGGAACUUAUUUGGCCCCUUCAAGUACUGGAAGGCUGCAAAAGUGUCUCUCUGGAGCCUUCUCCAGGCUGAACAACCACAGCUGUCUCAGCCUGUCUUCACUGGCAAGCCAACCCUUCCCUCUGAUCAUUUUUGUGGCCUUCUCUGGACCUCAUCCAUCAGGUCCAUGCCUUUCCUGUACUGACACUCCAGGGCUGGAGGCAACACUCCAGGCGGGGUCUCUCCAAUACAGGGAGAGAAUCAUCUCCCUUGACCUGCUGGCUGUGCUGCUUUGGAUACAAUUGGCCAUUAGAAGGAAAAGGCAGCAGGGUAGACUCAGACCCACUGAGAGCAUCUGUCCCUGUGCUCUGGGUCAGUCCUUGGCUGUAGCUGAGCUUGGCAGAGGUGGUGCCUGCUCCCUGUCUCUGCUGGACACCUCCUGUGUGGGUCUAGCAGGGUGUCUGCCCUACAACACAAACACACCUGCCCUCAAGACCUUCAACCUUUUUUUUUUUUUUUCCUUUUGGAUACCUUUGUGUCUCCUCUUGGACAGAGGUCCCACCCUCACUGGCUGUCGUUGGUGCUGGGUGCAGUUUUGGUUGGUGUCUCUGUUUGAAGGCUGGCCUAGGAUGGGUCACACUGCUGACAAGACUCUGCCCUGCAGGUGCUCCAGGCUGGGAUCCAUCAGUGAGGUCUGGUGAGAAAGUUGUUGUUGUGGCUAAUGGGGAUUAAUGGUCCAGCUUCAAACCCCCUAAACAAUGUUUACUCUGUAUCCCUCCCACACACAGUGGCUGAAUCCAGGAUGUGAAAUGAUGCCUUUAAUGUCCCUGUGGCUCUCAGGAUCUCAAGCCCAGCAACAGGACAGACUGACCAAGGCACUGAGUGACUGCACAGCUGCCUGUGAUGUUCAGGAGCAGCAGCUGGAGAUGUCCCUUCCCACAAUGUCCACGUGCUAGAGCUGAUUACAAACUGCAGGGAAAAGUGGCAGCAGGGCUGGAGAAAUCUGUCACAGAAGAAGUGCUGCUGUGUGUCACUGAACACACCUGGGGAGUGUUGGUGUCAGCAACUGCAGCCCCGGUGAGCUCCAGGGAGCCCAGCCCAGCACGGGAGUGAUGCUGGUGGGCUCAGGGGAACGUGGGUUUUCCAGAGGGGCUUGAGUUCCCCAGGCACUUGGAAAAGCACAGUGGUGUGCAGUGCUGCUCGAGAAAGCAGUGACAAGGGGACAACCAGCCCCAAGGGAUUAACAGACAGAGGGGAGGCCAAGGAGAAGCCUUGGCUAGAGAAGUCAGGACACCUUUCUGAUGUAGACACUUGGAGGAAGAGCACAGAGAGGGGGGCUGUGGAAGGGGCAGAGCAGGGGAAAGCCCUGUUCUGCUGCUGGCUUGAGCAAUGAGAGUUUGUGCCUGCUGAAGUACAUUUUUGUAACAGAAAGGAAAACACACAAAGCUGACAUUUUUUCCCUUCUUUGGACGGUAGGAAUGUUUUAAUUGAGAAAUUUGUUUUAAUUACAUUAGGUGAUAUCACAGUCUAUUUUACAAGUUUGGGGUAAGAGGAUGUGUGGACCAGUUACACAGAAAUCCAGCGAAAGGAUAAAAAUCUACAACAUGAGAAAAAUGAAAAGGUUAACUUAACCCCAAAAUAAAAGCAUUGAGAGUUCGGUGUGAGUGGAAAUGGGAGAUUAUACCAGGGUCCAGAGAAGUAGAAAGGAUGAGACUAACAUAAAUUUACAGUAUUGGUUCUGCACGACCAUCGCUUGCCUGUGUUCAGAGACAGCCUCUCUUCCUGAGGGCAUCGCUAAGCAGAUGGCCCCGUCUCUGAGGAUUUGGUCUGGUCUUGUCAGAGAAGAAAGCAAAAGAACUGAUGGGCAAAGGUCACAACCCACGCUGAGCUGGUCCCCAGGGUCACUGCCUACAGGAGUGUCUUCCACUGGAUAGUCGGGGGGGUUCUGCACCAAGAACUGUAUGGAGGAAAACUAAAACAGCUCCAAAAAGCCCCAUCUCAAACGUAGAAAAGUCUCACUCUGGAAGUGCUUACGAGAAGAUCGUCAUCAUAGAAUUUGGUUUCUAUAAUAACAUUACCACUGCGGGAGGAAGGAGGAGAGAGAAGAGGUGUUAGAAGGGUGCAUGGACAGUGACUGCUCCUCUCCACGCUCUCACAAGCCUGGGCUCACACCCUGACCACCCCACAACCUCUUCUCUGAGCACUGUCCUGGUCAGGGUCAGUCAGGACUCCAAACAGAUUCCUGUGUGCAAUGUUCCCCCAUCCCUCCCCUGUCUGAGCAUGGUACUGCUCAGGCUGCAGAGUGCUCGGACAGCAAACUCCUGCUCACUCCUACUGCUAAAAAUAAACCAGCAGUCCCAGCACCUUUAGGCCCCUGUCUCCUGCAGGAAUUGUGAAAACUAAUGGGAAUUCUUUUUUUUAUUCUCCUUCUCUGUCCUCUAGUGCUGAGCAAGCUACAUCAACCAAUAUGUCAUUUCCUUUAAGAAGUGCUUAAAUGCAAAGACACAAGCAUAUUUUAUACAAACAGCAAUGGAAAUGUGGAUUUGGAUGUGACAGAAGCUCUGGGGAUGUAAUUUGCUGACUUCUGAAAUUUUGGUACAUAAAAUUAGAACUGGGACCAUUACAACACCUGGACACCUAAGCAGUGUGAUCUGACCUUAUCUAAACAACCUGGAUCUUGAAAAGCAAAGCAGCAGUUCUACCUCCACUGUGGCUCUUGGUGUCUGUAACAGUGGACCUGCUAAGAGUGUAAGGUUUUGCUGUGCUGUGGACAACGCUUGAAAUUAAAUGUCAGGGAAUGUCCUCAAUCUGAUACUCAGUCAUCUUGGGAACUCUUCAUGCACAGUGCCAUGGUUAGCACCAAGUAUCACACCUCCAUUCUCUCCUGGUUUGGAAACACCAAGACAAACAUGAGGUCUUCGGGAAUAUUAGAAAAUGAGGGGGUCUCCAAAUCUUGGCAGCUGUAAAAUGAUGACUUCUUUGGGCCACAAAUUCCCCUUUGGAUUUCUUUGGGCUGGGGCAUUCUACUGAAAAGCCUCAAGAAUGACUUUAGGAUACCUCUAUAAAUAGGAGAAAGAGAUCUGGGCUCCCCACUGCAAGUGGACAUACUUCAGGGAACAAAUGGUACAUUGGAAAAUCCUCAAGGUCAUUUGAAAACUAACUUCUCUUGACUCCCAGUCCUGAAAACAUCUUGAAUUCCUGAGAUGAUCAAAAGCAACUUGUCAGAUGUCUUUGUUUCUUUAUUCUGGUUCCCAAAUCUGGCUCCUCCUGUACUGGCAGUGCCCAGCUCUGGGAGCUGAGGGUGUGUGCAGCACCUCCAAGGUUCUGAGCAGGCUGUGCCAGGAGCACUAUUGGAACACUGGUGCUCUCCUCCAAGCCCACUCUCUUUGAAACGUGCUGUGAAUGGGAAUCAGUGACGGUAGCUCCCAUCCCAGUGCCUUCUCUAUGCGACUGGCUUUGCUCCAGACAGGGAAUGAGAGGGAAAAUGCUGGAGAGGGAGAUCUUCCAGCGGACACAGUGACCUUGCAGUGAGACUGCCUGCUCCCUGGCUGCCUCUUGUUGGCAGCAGGGUUCCCAAACCCUUCUGUUUCUGGCAGUGCUCUCCUUGUGUGCUUGCCAGCACCCAUCCAGCACUGCAGGGAGGAUGGUUACCCUUCCCAGGAGCCUUUUCCAUCAUGCCCCAAAGCUGGAGCCUGGCUGCCCACACCGGGCAAUGCUCAGCACGUGUCACUGUGACACAUCUGAGGCAUCACUGCCCUGCUCAGGAGCCCAUGUGCACACAGAGCCAGCAGCAGACUUGUGAGGAGGCUGUGUCAAUCGUCCUGCAGGUGACUGUAAAACGACUGAUUCCUUCCUGUUAAAGGUACUUUAGCCUCAAAUACAACUCCAUGCAUAGUGCAUAUAAAUGUGUAUAUAUGCAUAUACACUAAAUGUGUAUAAGCCAAUGUUAAAGACACAAAGCUCAGCAAAAUGUUACAGUGAUGAAACAAACACUAGAGCAGCUACUACAGGUGAUAUAUUGCAUGAACUGAACUACCUUGGACAAGAGUCAAUGAUCAAUAGCUGAUUUAGAAAUGGCCCAAAAAUCUGCUGGUUUUUGGUUUUUUCCCCCCUGGAUAUAACAGGUAUUAAGUUGAAAAACAUUUUAAAAUCCUUUCACGAUUCACCUUCCAAAAAAAUUAAGCAACUUUAUUAAAGAAUCAGUUUCACUUUCUCCAAACCUUUAUUGCUAUAUAAAUGCAAAUUGGACCUAUGGGAAGGAAGGUAAUGAGGUUGGCUUAACCCCUUUUAUCACUCAACAACAGUAGUGAGGUGAUUCAGAGUUGGUAGCAGUUCCCUCUUCUCCUUCCCACCGUUGCCCCCAAGGAAAUGCCAUGCACUGCUUUUGCUUUGCCUGCUCUCAGACUCUGCAAGCCCAAGGCACUCACGUUAAAACGUUAGCUGGCAUCAUCUGUGAUUCAGGUGCUGCCUCUAUCAAGGACUGCCAAGUGUUUGUGGAGUUAGGAAUCACAAAACCAAAUUCAAAGAACCAUUCUGCAAAGAAAAAAAAAAAAAGAAAAGAGAAAAAGAGAUCCAGAGGCAUUGAAAGAAAAAAAUUCACAAAUGGUCCUUUUGCUUUUUACCUGCUAGCCCGGGGAACUCCCUAAACUGUCCCGCUGGGCUGCCAACAUUUUACAUUUAAAUUGCUUUGUACAGCUUAAACUGCACUGAGCCCUGCCCUCCUCUUAGAGCAGAUACUCCCUUUUUGAAAUAGCUGAUGGUACAGAUAAGGUCACACCACUUCCGUGGCAUUUGGUGAGAAUUUCAACACACCUAAUUGGGAACAGGGAAACCACCCUCCUCCCCUUGCAGACAUCUUGGGACCCAGCUGAGGUUAAGUGUGCAACUGGUUUCCCAAGAGACAGGGAGCUCAGUGUUUUGGCUGCCCCUUCUCCAGCCCAGAUGAAGAGCAGCACUGCAGUGAGGGGGGUCAGAGGUGCAGUUGUGGGGUCACUGGCACUGCUGUAACCCAGGUAAACCAGAGCUCCAGCCUGGCACUCUGAGGAAGACCCAGCAAUUCCAGUAAUAGCUGACUCUGAAAUAGCCUGUUUCCUUGCCUCAGGCAGCCUGUGGUGGAUUUAUGCCCUCAGGCAUGAUUACCCAGCUUUUUUGCUUACAUAACAAAGUGUUAAUACACUUAUGAAAUGCUAUCCUUAAUACUGUGGCCCAUUAGUCCUGACAAGACGAGUGCUUCAGUGCUACUCUGAAAAAUUAAAAUCACCACAUUCAACCCAUUUUAGUCGCUCUAAUCCCUGCCCUGCUGGGGGUCAGUCCCUGUGCUGCAGCACACAGAGCACAUCCAUACCUUCUAGACACUGCCCUUUGAAAUAAACUUUCUGUUCCAGACGGAAUUUUUCCAUUUGUUCUGCUGAGGAAAAGUUUAACUCCCGAGAUACUGCUUUGCAUUUCAGGAUUUUUUUAGGAACUCGAGCUGUGAAACAGAUAAAGAAACAUUAUUUGAACACAAUAAAAUCCAGCUUCUGCAGGUACUAUUAUUCUAUACUUGGAAAUAAUGAUUAGGACUAAUACAAGAACAUAGCAGCAGGAAAAAUACAAACACAAAGGACUUUGUUUUUACAUUUGCAAGAGUGAAAUCCAAGAUGCAAAUACCUUAAGUACCCUGCCCACAGCCAAGAAUGGUAUUUAUGACAGAACCAGGGAUACAAUACUGAUCUCUCAGAACCAGACUCCUGGUUCUUAGUUACUUGUUACUAAACACCAUAAUUUUUAAAGUUGAAAUAUAAGAUGCAACUUAAAUUUUUCCUUUAAGAAUUGUGCUGAAGAUGACUGGCAGCCAAAGGGCUGCUUAGCACACCAAGCUCCUUAGCCCUUCUCACUUUUCCCUCCCUUUCAGACUGUGCAUCCCAGAGCAAACCACCAACGUGUGUUUCUCAGCCCAGCAGCACUUCCUCAGCCAUCUCAGAGCUCUGGGAAGUGUCCUGUAGAAGUAAAAGCCUGUUCCCCUAACAGUGAGACCUGCCCAGGCUGUAAAGCCAGAACCUCACUGGAGAGAGCAAUUUGACAGUCCAGGUUUCUGGGCUCUUGCAGUGGGUGAGACACCAACAAACAGCAAGUGGCAAACUGUACCUGGUAGAGAUUUCACCAGAUGAUUUUUUUUUUUAGAGGCAGAGGAAUAAGAGAAGGGACAGUCUGGGAGCACUGAUUAAGAGUCCUAAUCAGGAGAAUAUGAGGAGGGACCAAACCAGUAAAAAUCUCCCAAGCCCAUCAUACUUCACUGGUGUGAUUGUGCAUAAUUCCUUCCUGCAUUAGGAAAAUGUUUCAUGUAAAUUUUUUAGAAAUUAAGAGGGGAGGGAAGACAGCUGGCAUGUGCUUUAUGAGCCAAACUGUUCCAAAAUGGAAGGCACAUCACAACAUCCAUGAGCAGGGAGCAGGCUGGUGUUUAAUAAAUGCAGGACUCUCCCAAACCCCAGGCAAAUCUCUCUAAUGUAGAACAAUUUUAUGGACUAGGACCUUGAUACAACACCAAUCUCACGAGCUGGAGGCUUAGGGAAUCUAAGCCAGCAUCCUACCCCAAGGAGAAGUAUACAGCCCACAGCUUGGUAAAAAAAAAAAAAUAAAAAGAAAAUUAGAAGUGUAAGGCAAGAGUUUUAAAUGUAAAAGGUCUCUAAUUAUUUUUAUGGGACUUUCUGCACCAUGGAAACCUGCAUGGCACCAUCCUCUACUGCCCUCACCAGUACAGACUACACCAUUGGGGAUAAACAUCCCUUUGCAGUUAAGUGUAAAAUGACUCGUUAAAACUAUUCUGCAAUUUAGUAAUUUCAUUUCUUUCAUCCCCAAGACAGAGUCCUGAGAGUGUUUGCUUUAACAAUGUAAAACUACCAAAUAAAUACUUUUAAUAAAAGUAGGACUGCAUUGUCUUUAAACAUCUAA